rnacentral:misc_RNA from 1 species
AAGUCGUAACAAGGUCUCCGUAGGUGAACCUGCGGAGGGAUCAUUCACAUGAUAUCUUUUUCAAAAAACAAACUGUGAACUUUUUAUUAACUAUUCUACAUAACUAUAUUUUUGUUAUGUUUCCAUUCGAUGAACAUUAGAUAGUUGGCUUGUUAUAUAUAUAUAACUUUCUCAGCUUUGAUCUUGUUAAUUCUAAACAAAUUAAUAUCAAAUCAAACCAUAAACAUAGAAACAACUCUAUGCCCUGGAUAUCUUGGUUCUC